CGCCCCGCGAGGGACGGCGCCGCCCCGGGGCUCGUGAUAUCUCAUCUCGCCGCCCGUCGCGAGGCGGACGGAGGGAUGGAUGAGGUUACCUGGAAAAAAUCGGGGCGAUCUAGGCGGGCGAACCUCGCCAACGAACGAUCGGACAUGGGAUAACGGAAGAGGGCGUCGGCUCGACUUCGUCGGUUCCUCGGGCCGAGGCACGUACGGUGAAUAGGGACGGUCGGGGCCGCCCGUACCGGGUCGUGAGAGGUGAAAUUCUAGGAUCGACCCGAGACGAACCGCCGCGAAAGCAUUCGGCAAGGACGCUUUCAUUAAUCAAGAACGAAAGUCGGGGGAUCGAAGACGAUCAGAUACCGUCGUAGUCCCGACCGUAAACGAUGCCGACCGAGGGCCCGGAGGAGUUACGUACGACCCUCCGGGCCCUCCCGCCGAGAAAUCAGGAGUAUUCGGGUUCCGGGGGGAGGUAUGGUCGCAAGGCCGAAACUUAAAGGAAUUGACGGAAGGGCG
rnacentral:rRNA from 1 species